rnacentral:rRNA from 1 species
AUUGAACGCUGGCGGCAGGCUUAACACAUGCAAGUCGAGCGGGGUGAUGGUGCUUGCACUAUCACUUAGCGGCGGACGGGUGAGUAAUGCUUAGGAAUCUGCCUAUUAGUGGGGGACAACAUCUCGAAAGGGAUGCUAAUACCGCAUACGUCCUACGGGAGAAAGCAGGGGAUCACUUGUGACCUUGCGCUAAUAGAUGAGCCUAAGUCGGAUUAGCUAGUUGGUGGGGUGAAGGCCUACCAAGGCGACGAUCUGUAGCGGGUCUGAGAGGGUGAUCGGGCCAACUGGGACGGAGACACGGCCCAGACUCCUACGGGAGGCAGCAGUGGGGAAUAUUGGACAAUGGGGGGAACCCUGAUCCAGCCAUGCCGAGUGUGUGAAGAAGGCCUUAUGGUUGUAAAGCACUUUAAGCGAGGAGGAGGCUCUUUUGGUUAAUACCCAAGAUGAGUGGACGUUACUCGCAGAAUAAGCACCGGCUAACUCUGUGCCAGCCGCCGCUGUAA